rnacentral:rRNA from 1 species
GUCCUAGCUGUAAACGGUGCACGUUUGCUGUAAAAGGAAUCGACCCCUUUUGUGGCGGAGCUAACGCGUUAAACGUGCCGCCUGGGGAGUACGGUCGCAAGAUUAAAACUCAAAGAAAUUGACGGGGGCCUGCACAAGCGGUGGAGUAUGUGGCUCAAUUCGAUGCAACGCGAAGAACCUUACCUGGCCUUGACAUGUAUCUAGUAGAAGGGCGAAAGCCUGACGAGGUAGCAAUACCAGGAUACACAGGUGCUGCAUGGCUGUCGU